GUCGAGGGGUAACGGAAGUAGCUUGCUACUAGACGACGACCGGCGCACGGGUGAGUAACGCGUAUGUAAUCUGCCUUGUACAGAGGGAUAGCCCAGAGAAAUUUGGAUUAAUACCUCAUAGUAUUACUGAAUCGCAUGAUUCGGUAAUUAAAGCUCCGGCGGUACAAGAUGAACAUGCGUGACAUUAGCUAGUUGGUAAGGUAACGGCUUACCAAGGCCACGAUGUCUAGGGGUUCUGAGAGGAUGAUCCCCCACACUGGUACUGAGACACGGACCAGACUCCUACGGGAGGCAGCAGUGAGGAAUAUUGGUCAAUGGACGCAAGUCUGAACCAGCCAUCCCGCGUGAAGGAUGACUGCCCUAUGGGUUGUAAACUUCUUUUAUAUGCAAAUAAACCUACUUUCGUGAAAGUAGCUGAAGGUAGCAUAUGAAUAAACACCGGCUAACUCCGUGCCAGCAGCCGCGGUAAUACGGAGGGUGUAAGCGUNAUCCG
rnacentral:rRNA from 1 species